GGCAAAUGAGAGGGACCUCAAUUACUAACUCUCUCUCUUUACCACCCCCUGGGUCAAUGACAUGGAUAAACUAAGACUCUUAGGUCAUUCAGGAGAACCUCAUGAAUAUACACAAGGAGAGUACCAAUGAAUUACAGAUAGGUGGAGAUCGUCAACGUAAUUUCUCCCCCGUCCGAUAUUGACCUGCAAGCGACACAUCACGAAUCUACAGCCAUCAACUUACUGUUGUCCUGCACAUCUAACGUGUUUCCUUGUGUCUAUCGUCAGAUGAAACAGCAUCAGCAGGAGCCUGAGACCAGAGGGUAUGGAUAAUCACUGCCAUCUUGUGGAUUUAACGGGGAGCAAACGAUUCAGCCAAGACUCGGAUCACUACCGACAUCUAGUGGCUAGUGAGUGUUACUACAGCAGAAAGACGUAUCUAUCUGGCCUAUUUUAUACAGUGGUAGCAUCCAAAUGAGGAGUCUGUACCUAAAAGACUGUGGUCAGGGUACAUAUCUACAAAGUGUCUCAGAGUAGGAGUGCUGAUCUAGGAUCAG
ensembl:lncRNA